CAGCAGUGGGGAAUAUUGCACAAUGGGCGCAAGCCUGAUGCAGCAACGCCGCGUGAGCGAUGAAGGCCUUCGGGUCGUAAAGCUCUGUCCUCAAGGAAGAAUAAAUGACGGUACUUGAGGAGGAAGCCCCGGCUAACUACGUGCCAGCAGCCGCGGUAAUACGUAGGGGGCAAGCGUUAUCCGGAAAUCACUGGGCGUAAAGGGUGCGUAGGCGGUUUUUCAAGUCAGAAGUGAAAAGGCUAUGGCUCAACCAUAGUAAGCUUUUGAAACUGUUAAACUUGAGUGCAGGAGAGGAAAGUGGAAUUCCUAGUGUAGAGGUGAAAUUCGUAGAUAUUAGGAGGAACACCAGUGGCGAAGGCGACUUUCUGGACUGUAACUGACGCUGAGGCACGAAAGCGUGGGGAGCGAACAGGAUUAGAUACCCUGGUAG
rnacentral:rRNA from 1 species